rnacentral:rRNA from 1 species
UACGUAGGGGGCAAGCGUUGUCCGGAUUUAUUGGGCGUAAAGAGCGUGUAGGCGGCCUGAAAGGUCAGCUGUGAAAACUCGAGGCUCAACCUCGAGACGUCGGUUGAAACCAUCUGGCUAGAGUCCGGAAGAGGAGAGUGGAAUUCCGCGUGUAGCAGUGAAAUGCGUAGAGAUGCGGAGGAACACCGAUGGCGAAGGCAAUCCCCUGGGCCUGUACUGACGCUCAUGCACGAAAGCGUGGGGAGCAAACAGG